rnacentral:rRNA from 1 species
AUUGAACGCUGGCGGCAUGCCUUACACAUGCAAGUCGAACGGCAGCACGGGGGCAACCCUGGUGGCGAGUGGCGAACGGGUGAGUAAUAUAUCGGAACGUGCCCUGGAGUGGGGGAUAACUAGUCGAAAGACUAGCUAAUACCGCAUACGAUCUACGGAUGAAAGUGGGGGAUCGCAAGACCUCAUGCUCGUGGAGCGGCCGAUAUCUGAUUAGCUAGUUGGUGGGGUAAAAGCCUACCAAGGCAUCGAUCAGUAGCUGGUCUGAGAGGACGACCAGCCACACUGGGACUGAGACACGGCCCAGACUCCUACGGGAGGCAGCAGUGGGGAAUUUUGGACAAUGGGGGCAACCCUGAUCCAGCAAUGCCGCGUGAGUGAAGAAGGCCUUCGGGUUGUAAAGCUCUUUUGUCAGGGAAGAAACGGUCUGGGCUAAUACCCUGGGCUAAUGACGGUACCUGAAGAAUAAGCACCGGCUAACUACGUGCCAGCAGCCGCGGUAAUACGUAGGGUGCAAGCGUUAAUCGGAAUUACUGGGCGUAAAGCGUGCGCAGGCGGUUGUGCAAGACAGAUGUGAAAUCCCCGGGCUUAACCUGGGAAUUGCAUUUGUGACUGCACGGCUAGAGUGUGUCAGAGGGGGGUAGAAUUCCACGUGUAGCAGUGAAAUGCGUAGAGAUGUGGAGGAAUACCGAUGGCGAAGGCAGCCCCCUGGGAUAACACUGACGCUCAUGCACGAAAGCGUGGGGAGCAAACAGG